CAGGUAUUACUUAGCGAAUUUAUUUAGUUCGUGGAUUUUUGUACGUAGUCUAAUACCACUCAUUUUUUUCAUAUUAGAAAUAUUUUUUUGGGAAAAUGUCUGAUCAGGGUAGAUUCUUGGGUCUCUUGGGUACUAAUUGCAAUCAGAAUAAUUGUAAAAUAGCGUAAUUUUAUAUUAAAUAAGUGAAAAUGAAAAAUGUGUGUAGCAGAAUUGAUUAACGUCGUUCUCGAUUUUUGGGGGAAAAACUCACCGAUAAAAAUCCAAAUGCAUUUUAUUUGGCCUCUAAAACACACAAACUAUCUUUUCACACACUUUUUAGGCUACUUUUAGUAUGUUUUAUUAAUAAAAAACUAAUUUUUCACUGACCGUGCGGUUUUGAUAAAAUUUUCUCGGGCACCAUAGAAGAGGUGAAUUUUGGAAAAAAAAAUCACCACACUCACCACACCGAUGUCUCACGAAGAGAUAUCGGAGAUGUCGAUCGUGAAAAUAAAAAUUGAGGUUAAGUUUGAUUGUUUUCCUGCCAAGUUUGUUGAUGUUUCCGGAUGAUUUUGUUUUUAUUUUAUGGAAAUUGUGCUCAAGAAAGUGAAAAACGGCAAAGCAUUGAAUUUUUAUUCAAUGCAAUGCUACCUUUUAUUCGAGUGACGUGAAGGAAAAUCGUUCACUUUUUCCAAGGAAUUUGAUCACCCCAGAUGGACUGGAGGAAAGACAGCUCGAUGCAAGGAUUUUAAGAGGAACUCACUCAGACGCUCAGACCUCAUCAAUAUGGCCAUCACUUAAGUCGACAGGACUACAAGUUUUCUUGAAGGAAAUAGUCCAGGAUCUGAAGCUAGAAUCCGGCAGAACAGCAUUGGAAACCAUAAAUGCGACAUAAAAGCCGGGAAUCCCUAUCACGCACAAUCAGUUUAGCAGAAACUCAACUAUUCAUCUUCCUGUGCGGGGAUUCAGAGGUUCUCCUUAAGCUCAUCUGCUCACCAAACCCACAGAAGAUUUUAAAGCAGUAGCUGAACAGCAAUUUGCAGUCAAGGAUCUACCAGAGUAUAAUGGAUCGCUGAUCCUUCUUCCAUCUCACCUUUGGAUUUGGACUUUUUGCUGCAAUUUAUGGCCCGGAAUAGAUGACGAGUGGAGACAUCAAUACAGAAGAUAUGAAAACUAUCAAUUUGAUUUUCUAUGUUCAAAUCAUUAUUUAUUUUAGUUCAUUUUUACAAAAAUACUCUAUUAACAAAAUUUUAUUAUUUUUUUAAUUUAAUAAAGAAUAAAAUUUAAUAAA